CCCGCAGGUCUGCACCCCACAGGGAUGAUGUCCUGCUGGCAAGGUGACCAAGGCAGGACACAGGGGAGGCUCCAGGCCUUGGCCAACAGGCAAGGUGCUCUGUGGGCAGGACUUGGCCUGCUGGGUUCGGGUCACACAAGGGGAUGGCGAGGGGGCGGAGAGUAGAUACAGCUGCAGCUUAGGUCAAGUGCAGGGGCAGGGAGACAGCGGGUGGUGGAGCUCUGUGGGAUUGAGGACUGUGCCCUAAGGUGCGCCCAGGCUCCUCAUGGGGGCACCUGCACCUUCUUCUUGACUCUUAAGAGAAAGGAAGGAAGAGAGAAAAGGCCCAGAGUCAGAGGAAAGGACUUAGGAAAAUGAAUGAACGAUUCAAUCUCCAUCUCAUCCGCAAGGAGAAGGGUGAGGAGGAAGAGGAGUUGGGGUAUGCAUUUUAAACAAAGUUCCAUCUCUUCAUUAUAGCAGUUAGAGCUUUUCACACCCUCAAAGGCCCUGCCUCUCUACAAAGAAAAAGUGGAAAGCAGUGUUUCCCAAACUCAGUUGCCCACAAAACUUGUCUUUUCAAGAGAAGCUGAUCAAUGCCUGGGGAACACAGAGCGCCCUGAGGCACCACCUUGGAAACGCUGGGUCAGGCAUUGGCCUCUAAUUUUGAAAUAUAAUUCACGGGCUACUGAAUCUGGAAAUGGCCUUGGAGAUAAGCUAGCUGCCCCCACAUUCUAUAGGUGGGGAAACUGAGGCCUAGAGAGGGUAGAAAGUGGCCGAGGCAACCCCAUGGCCCACAGCUCUGCUGGGAUUUGACUGCCCCAACCCUGCUUGGCCACGGAGGACCGUGGCCAUGCCAGGGUUCCGGGUUUCUAUGCAGGUCUCUCAUCAAACUCUGAGCUCCUCAAAGCCAGGUCUGGCCUCCACCACCACCUCCCUACCCCAGCUCCUGGCCCAACGCCCCACACAGAGGGUACGUUCACAAAAGUUCACCACAGCGUGAGCGGUUCGGGGAGACACCAGGAAGGGCUUUCCGGCAGCUGGGCUUGGAUGGCAGGAACGAGCAGCUCUGAGGGCUUCUAAGAAGAGGGCAGAGGCCAGCUGCCCCGAGGCAGCCCUGGGCACUGGCCCCAGCUUCCUUGUUCCCGGAGUGGGCGGGCUUGGGAGGGCAAGGAGGACACAGGCCCCAGGAGCUGCCUUCCUGGCCCAGGUCCGCGACCCUCAGCUUGGACCAAAAACAAGGGCCGGCGAGAACCCUUGUCAGGACAGGCCUGGAAUGCCGUCCUUCCCUCCGCCACCCCCACCCGUGCUCAGGCUUCCACCUCCAGCACUUACUCUGCACCUUGGACAGCAAGGAGAUCAAACCAGUCCAUCCUAAAGGAAAUCAACCCUGAAUAGUCAUCGGGAGGACUGAUGCUGAAGCUGAUGCGCCAAUACUUUGGCCACCUGAUGCGAAGAGCUGACUCCUUGGAAAAGACCCUGAUGGUGGGAAAGAUUGAAAGCAGGAGGAGAAGGGGACGACAGAGGAUGAGAUACUUGGAUGGCCUCACCGACUUGAUGGACAUGAGUUUGAGCAAGCUCCAGGAGAUGGUGAUGGACAGGGAAGCCAGGCAUUCAUGGGGUCGCAAAGAGUCGGACACGACUCAGCAACUCAACAACAACUCUGCACCAAACGUUCAGAGUGUGUGUAUUCUUUUUGUUUUUUAUUUUGGCCGCGCAGCAUGUCUUGCGGGAUCUUAGUUCCUCAAACAGGGUUCGAACCCAAGACUUCAACAGUGAAAUAGCCACGUUCUAACCACUGGCCCGCCAGGGAAUUCCUUGCAUACUCUUUUUUUUUUAUAACACUUUUUCUAUUUAUUUAAUUUUGUAUCUAUAAAAGAUGAUGAAUAUUCACAAAGCUUAACUGUAAUAAUCAUUUCUUGAUGUAUGUAAGUCAAAUCAUUAUGCUAUCAACCUUAAACUUACACAGUAC
ensembl:lncRNA